AUGCCGCGCGUGUUGUCUCGUUCCCCGCCGUCCCACCGACGGCGGCGCUCCCCAUCGCCGCGGUACGGCGGCAGGCGGCGCUCCCCGUCGCCGCGGUAUGGCAGCAGGCGGAUCCGACGAGAUCGCAGCCGCUCCCCUUACUCCUCCCGGAGAAAAAGCCGGUCUCCUUCUAGAUGGGACAGGAGCCAGUCCCCAAUUCCUAGGAGGCGUAAAAGCCCUCCAUCACCGAGGAGACAUAGAAGACGGAGAAGCCGGAGCAGCUCAAGUUCUCUUGUAAAUAACUCCAGCCCAAGUCAUGGAUCCGAACAGAACAGUUUAAUUGAAAAACAAAGGAAGGAAGAAGAAAAGAAAAGACGCCAAAAGGAAGCUGAACUUAAGUUGUUGGAAGAGGAGCUUGCUAGGAGAGUUGAAGAAGCUGUUAGGAAAAAUGUUGAGGAGUGUCUGAACUCUGAGGAAGUAAAAGAUGAAAUAAAACGCCGAGUUGAGGAAGGUAUCAAAAAGUUAUUUGAUGAGGUUGAUGCUCAGCUACAAAAAGAAAAGCAAGCAGCUCUCCAUGAAGCCAGGCAGAAAGUAGAGCAAGAAAGGAAGGAGAGGGAGGAGUUGGAUAGGAUGAUCGAGGAGAACCGGAGGAAAGUAGAGGAAUCUCAAAGGAGAGAAGCUCAGGAGCAGCAUCAGAAAGAGAUGGAGCGAUAUUUGGAGCUGGAACGGAUCCAAAAGCAGAGAGAAGAAGCCUUACGCAGAAAAAAGAUUGAAGAGGAGGAAGAAAGAGCUAAGCAGAUGAGAUAUUAG
rnacentral:rRNA from 1 species